rnacentral:rRNA from 1 species
UACGAACCGUGCGAGCGUUGUUCGGAUUCACUGGGCUUAAAGGGCGCGUAGGCGGCUUGCCAAGUCAGGGGUGAAAUCUUUCGGCUCAACCGGAAAACAGCCCCUGAUACUGGCGGGCUGGAGGGAGGUAGGGGCGGAUGGAACUUCCGGUGGAGCGGUGAAAUGCGUAGAUAUCGGAAGGAACGCCGGUGGCGAAAGCGAUCCGCUGGACCUCUUCUGACGCUGAUGCGCGAAAGCCAGGGGAGCAAACGGG